GGGAGGUUGUGAAGGUGGGGGGGUGGGGGGGGGGGCUAAGGGCAGAGGGGGAGAGAAUGGGGUUUCUCCUCUGGCAGCCCCAGCUUUUGUCUGAGUUCUGGGAUCAGGUUUCUUCAGGAAACAAUCGGAGGCCUCUGGAAAAAAUACAGUCAGAACCUGGCAACAGGCAAGGGAACAAGGCCUUGCGGGUGCAGGGGGGCGGUUACAGGGGGGGAGGCUGGUGUUGACCAAAAUGCACACUGAGACUGGACCCUUCCCUUUGCCCCACUCGGAGGAGCAGCCCAGGUGGACAAGGCACCGGACAGAGAACAGGCCUCUGUGGGCAGGUGCUGAGCACCCACGGGCAGCCAGCAGGUGGCCAAGAUCACUGCCUCCUUCGCCGGCUUUCUGGACCAGGGCCACCCGGCCCCCCAGUCCCAGCUCCUUCGGGCCUGGGAUGGGGAAAGGAGGCAGGGCAGAGGUGAGGCUGGGGCUGGAGGAAGGCACUCUGGGAGCCGCAGUGACUCAGCCAGAAAAGAAAAGGUGGGGAGGGGACAGGACCCAAACAUGUGCCUAGAAAGGCCACCCGUUCUUCCUCGGGUCUCUGGAAGACAGGGCUGCAGGCCAGCUGUGCAACAGAAGGCACUUGGGCUGGAUCAUCCCGCGGCGGGGGAAGUGGAUGGGAAGACAAGAUGCCAAGAGCUUGCCUCUGGCUGCCACGACAGAGCUGUGACCGGCCCACUCGUUGAACACACGGCCUUCCUCUUCUCAGCCCAGGGAAGGCCGGUCCUGUCUGGACGCAAGGGGUCAGGCACCAUCUCAUCUUCAGACCCUUGUAGGACAAGACGUCUACAGACACUGGCCCAUUAACGAUGGGGGCCGGAGGGGAGACAGGAUGCUAGGCUGGUGAGAGGGUCACCACGGCUUCGAGAUGCCUGGAUGUCCUGUUUAAUUUGCACCAGUGGGCAGGCCCCACAAUUACCACCCACCGGGCUCUGAGCUCCUUCCUCCGUCAGCUGGGGCACAGGGCUGGCCCCUACCUGCCCACCAGGCCCCAAGUGACCCUGCCUCCAGGAGACCUUCUGAGCCUGCACACCGGCCCCUGCCAAGGAGGAGGAGGUGGAAAGCAGCCGCUUGGGGAGGGAGCGACCUUGGGCUCACGUGUGGUGAGGGAGCUGGGAGGUGGGGACACGGGCAGCAGGGUGGGCCUGAGGGUGCCUGCGGCAGGCUUGGGUCUCCCCAGCCUGGAAACCUUCUCGCGCUUUGGGGGGCGGGGCCGGAACUGGCACGUGACCCAGCUCUCACGCAGGAGAACCGGAGACCGGGCCAGCUGAAAGGCCCACGUACCUACCUACCGACCUCCACCAUCGUGACACUCUCAGCACCUGAGGUUUUUACUCUUCUAAGGGGUCCCAGCAGCCUCCAGCCCCUACAUCUCCCACCCCCACUCCUGGAGGAAAGCCAGGGACAAAACAAGUGUCCCUGUUCACACUUGGUUGUUUUUUAAGUUCCUGCGUUCACACCUGGGGCUCAGCACCUGUUCUCCUCCAACCCCCACCUCCCCUAAGAAGCCAGAGGCCCCUCCCCAGCCUCGCACACAAACACUGCACUCUCUCUGGUGAAAGUGGGGGUCCAGGGAUGUUGUGGGGGGUUGCUGGAAAACUCUGCAGACAAUAAGGGCCAGGCCCCUCCCAAUCACAAACAAGACCCCAUGGGCUGGAGUGGCCGGACCCCCAACACCCGCUUCCCCCUCCCCCAGAGGAAGAGGCCAGCCCCUGGAGAGGUUCUGCCCAGGCCCUAGCCCUGCCCCAGGCUGGGGACAAUCAGGUCCUCCUCCCAGGAGACCCAUUCCCCCAGGGGACUCCACCCAGCCCCACCCUCCGAGGUAGACCUCUCUACUCAGGCUGACCUGGAGACUCCCUGUGCGCCCUUCAGGAGAUAGGGGAAUUAUUCAAGUUCAAGACCAAAGGUGAUGAGCAAAUCCGAUUCAACUGGAAGGAAGCAGGGGAAGGCGGAGGGAGCAUUUUGGAAAACGGAAGAGCGAUGCAGGCAGGUGGGCCAGGCACAGCCUCUGGGGAGCUAUGCUAUCCAAGGUGAGCUGCUUCCCUUCUCUAAACCUCAGUUUUCGUGCCUGUAAAAUGGAGUAAUGGUGCCUACUUCUGGUUAAGAGUUUUCAACAAAAUAACAUAUACAGGGUAUCCUGGAGUCGGGGACGUAAAAGAUGCUCAAUAAAACGUUACCUCCUCCCUCUUUGUCCUUUAGAGGCUGCACAUCCAGUCGUCCUACUUCCUGUUCCCAUGACCUCAUUGUGAGAAGACCCCACCCAGCCCCUCUGGCUACAGCGCUGGCCCCAGACCCCAGAGGAUGACCCCGCCCUAAUUUCCACCACAACCUGGGGCAGCCAGAACCCCUCUCCCCAUUCUCUGCCUCUUUCCUGGGCUGGGGUGGGGUGGGGUGUGGUCUCGGAGCCCCCUAUCCCUCCCUACCCAUCCCUCCUUCCACACCUACUAAGGCAGGGCCUGGGCUCCAAUGCCAGGGCGCUAAGCCCAGCCGCGUGUGCAGUGGCAGGGGGGACCCCAAGCCUGCCGCCCCGCCCCAGCCCCCAGCUUCUCCCCACUCACCGCCCCACCCGAUUACCAGGGGAUCCUGGGCUCUGCCGAUUCCAAGCCUGCUUCUCCCAAACCCGUUCCCAGCUGUCAUGUCUGUAAUUACCAGCCUCGCCAGGGGCAUCAGACCAGCACAGCAACACCUCAUUUCCAAAGGGCCCCACCAGACGAGGCCUCUGCCUCCUACUCUGUACCAAGCAGUGUGGAGGCAGGGAUGGAAAGAUUUUCCCUGACCCACCUCGUUUCUCUCCAGAUCACAAAGAGGGCUGCCGGGGAGAUCGCCAGGAGGCAGAAUAAAGAAUGGAAGGCUGCUGCUGGGGGUGGGGUCUGAGUUGGGAGUCUCUCCCGGGCUUCUCCCUCGCCUGGCUACUGAAACCUCCCCACAAACAAGGUUACCAACCCGGAGAGGGGGAGAGAAGAAUUUUCAGGUCACUUCGGACAGAGGGGAAGUUGAUGCCCCAGUAAAGCUGAAAGGGGUACCCACAGGGAUGAGGGCAGCUAUGGGAGGGAACUGCCCAGGAAAGAGCGAGUUAAAUGAAGUCCCAUCCUCCACCCAGACCGAGAAGAGGCAAGAGUAGCCCAGCCUCCCUCCUCCUCAUCACCUCCAUCCCCACCAACCUCACAGGACCUCCUUUUGCAGGCAGGGAAACUGAGGACAAAUCCCCACCCAUACUCCAAGAUCCAACAGCCCCACGCUGCAUACAGCUCAGCAACACCCCCGAUCCUUCUGGCCCGCUCAGCCCGAACCUGCAGAGGCUCCUCAGUCCCCUCCCUGUCUGCCUAGCUCAGAGUCUGAAUCCUGCGAAGGUCCAUCCACACAGUGGAAUAGGGUUCAGCCAUGAAAAAGAGGGUGAAAUUCUGGCACCCACUACGACGUGGAGGAACCUUGAGAAGCUUGU